UAGAAAUUCAGAGACGGAGAAGAAAGAGGAAUAAUGAAUGAAAUACAAAAAAGAGAGGGAACAUAUACAUCAUUGUUCUUGUGCGGUUUUUGUGUGUGGUUCCUUCUCUUUGUUUCGUCAUCGUUUAUCGGUGGUAAAUAAUGCUGUCUU
rnacentral:ribozyme from 14 species